rnacentral:rRNA from 1 species
CGUAGGGGGCAAGCGUUGUCCGGAUUUACUGGGCGUAAAGAGCGCGUAGGCGGACGUUUAAGUGUGGUCUGAAAGCCCCCGGCUCAACCGGGGAUGCGGAUUGCAUACUGGACGUCUUGAGGGGGAUAGAGGAAGGUGGAAUUCCUGGUGUAGCGGUGAAAUGCGUAGAGAUCAGGAGGAACACCCGUGGCGAAGGCGGCCUUCUGGGUCCGCCCUGACGCUGAGGCGCGAAAGCGUGGGGAGCGAACGGGAUUAGAUACCCCGGUAGUCCACGCCGUAAACGAUGAUCACUAGGUGUGUGCGGUAUCGACCCCGCACGUGCCGCAGCUAACGCAAUAAGUGAUCCGCCUGGGGAGUACGGCCGCAAGGUUG